UACGGAGGGGGCAAGCGUUGUUCGGAAUUACUGGGCGUAAAGCGCGCGUAGGCGGUUUCUCAAGUCAGGCGUGAAAGCCCUGGGCUCAACCCGGGAAUUGCGCUUGAUACUGAGUCACUUGAGGCCGGGAGAGGGUAGUGAAAUUCCCAGUGUAGAGGUGAAAUUCGUAGAUAUUGGGAAGAACACCAGUGGCGAAGGCGGCUACCUGGACCGGUACUGACGCUGAUGCGCGAAAGCGUGGGGAGCAAACAGG
rnacentral:rRNA from 1 species